GACGAACGCUGGCGGCGUGCUUAACACAUGCAAGUCGAGCGGUAAGGCCUCUUCGGGGGUACACGAGCGGCGAACGGGUGAGUAACACGUGGGUGACCUGCCCUCAGCUCUGGGAUAAGCCUGGGAAACUGGGUCUAAUACCGGAUAUGACCUUUCCUCGCAUGGGGUUUGGUGGAAAGUUUUUUCGGCUGGGGAUGGGCCCGCGGCCUAUCAGCUUGUUGGUGGGGUGAUGGCCUACCAAGGCGACGACGGGUAGCCGGCCUGAGAGGGCGACCGGCCACACUGGGACUGAGACACGGCCCAGACUCCUACGGGAGGCAGCCGUGGGGAAUAUUGCGCAAUGGGCGGAAGCCUGACGCAGCGACGCCGCGUGGGGGAUGACGGCCUUCGGGUUGUAAACCUCUUUCGACCCCGACGAAUUUGGACGGCAGGGGGAGAAGAAGCACCGGCCAACUACGUG
rnacentral:rRNA from 1 species